UGAAGUAUAUUUUUAGUAGAUCUUUUUAGAAAAAGUUUAGUCACCCUUGAUCUACAGGUUAGGUGAUGGCUGAGGUAACAAUAAGCCCAAUCAACUGUAAUAGGUAUGAGUGAGUAAUAGAUAUUUUUUUUACUUUUAAGGUAGUUUUAGAUUUUUUCAAUAAAUAAAUUAAACAAUUUCCACUUUGUUUUAGAGACAUUAAAUUAUCACUGAUAAAUUGACCAACAAUUUUCAGAAUUGCCAUACUUACCUACGGUUUGUUUG